rnacentral:rRNA from 1 species
UACGUAGGGGGCAAGCGUUGUCCGGAUUUAUUGGGCGUAAAGAGCGUGUAGGCGGCCAGACAGGUCCGUUGUGAAAACUCGAGGCUCAACCUCGAGAUGUCGAUGGAAACCGUCUGGCUAGAGUCCGGAAGAGGAGUGUGGAAUUCCUGGUGUAGCGGUGAAAUGCGCAGAUAUCAGGAAGAACACCCGUGGCGGAAGGCGGCUCUCUGGACGGUACUGACGGCUGAGACGCGAAAGCGUGGGGAGCGAACAGG